GAUGAAGAACGCAGCAAAAUGCGAUAAGUAAUGUGAAUUGCAGAAUUCAGUGAAUCAUCGAAUCUUUGAACGCACAUUGCGCCCGCCAGUAUUCUGGCGGGCAUGCCUGUUCGAGCGUCAUUUCAACCCUCAAGCACAGCUUGGUGUUGGGACUCGCGUUAAUUCGCGUUCCCCAAAUUGAUUGGCGGUCACGUCGAGCUUCCAUAGCGUAGUAGUAAAACCCUCGUUACUGGUAAUCGUCGCGGCAACGCCGUUAAACCCCAACUUCUGAAUGUUGACCUCGGAUCAGGUAGGAAUACCCGCUGAACUUAAGCAUAUCAAUAAGCGGAGGA
rnacentral:misc_RNA from 1 species